UCGCACGAAGAAAGUGAGGCAAUCCAUAGAGUAAAGUGGCGCACGGGUGAGUAACACGUGAAUGAUCUACCUCCGAGUGGGGAAUAACUGAGAGAAAUCUUGGCUAAUACCGCAUAAUACCCACGGGUCAAAGCAGCAAUGCGCUUGGAGAGGAGUUCGCGGCCGAUUAGCUAGUUGGCGGGGUAAUGGCCCACCAAGGCGAUGAUCGGUAUCCGGCCUGAGAGGGCGCACGGACACACUGGAACUGAAACACGGUCCAGACUCCUACGGGAGGCAGCAGUGGGGAAUUUUGCGCAAUGGGGGAAACCCUGACGCAGCAACGCCGCGUGGAGGAUGAAGCCCCUUGGGGUGUAAACUCCUUUCGUCGGGAAGAUAAUGACGGUACCGUAUAUAAGAAGCCCCGG
rnacentral:rRNA from 1 species